rnacentral:lncRNA from 1 species
AUGAAGAAAUACACGCACAGACAGUGUGGUGGAGAGGUGGAGACCCCGCUGCUGACCGAGGAUGCUGAUGUGGGCCUGGAGUACGCGCCCUUUGAUGAUGACGACGGCCUGGUGGACUGUGACUCCCGGCCGCCUGCUACCAUGGCCACUGCAGGUACAGGUCAGUGGCUGCUGCGGCGGGGAUGGGGUGGCGUGCGAGGCUGCACCCCCUCACCUGCCCCCACUCCCGCCCCUUCUCCCCAAGGACCAAGCACUGGUCUAGCAGUUCGGCAUCGCUCCCUCCCAAGAAAAAGAAGAAAAAGAAAGGCGGCCACGGGAGAAGCAGUGGUUCUCCUUUCUAACAAUCGCAGGACCAGGGCCAUCCUGCUUCAACAGGUGACAUGACAAUUAUGGGCGUGAGGGAGAUAAACUGACAGCAUCCCUUCCUUAUAACCAUGGCUCAGGGACCACAAUUCACACAGAGACUCACUCUAAGACUCAGCCAGGUGAGUGUCUGUUUCUCAGCUUCAUUAACAGUGAGUGAUCAAGACUCAGGUGGGACAAUGUCUGUAACUCUGUCAUGGUUUGUUCUUACAUCUCACGGAAUUAUAACUAGUCAGUAGGUGUUUCUAGAUGAAAUAUUAAUAUUAUGAAUAUAUAAAUAUAUAG